UACGAGGGGGGGCGAGCGUUGUUCGGAAUUAUUGGGCGUAAAGGGUGCGUAGGCGGUUCCGCAAGUCCUGUGUGAAAUCUUCGGGCUCAACUCGAAGUCUGCACGGGAAACUGCGGGGCUUGAGUGUGGGAGAGGUGAGUGGAAUUCCCGGUGUAGCGGUGAAAAUGCGUAGAUAUCGGGAGGAACACCUGUGGCGAAAGCGGCUCACUGGACCAUAACUGACGCUGAUGCACGAAAGCUGGGGGGAGCAAACAGG
rnacentral:rRNA from 1 species